GAACGAAGCCUUCGGGCUUAGUGGCGCACGGGUGCGUAACGCGUGGGAAUCUGCCCCUGGGUUCGGAAUAACAGUUGGAAACGACUGCUAAUACCGGAUGAUGACGUAAGUCCAAAGAUUUAUCGCCCAGGGAUGAGCCCGCGUAGGAUUAGCUAGUUGGUGAGGUAAAGGCUCACCAAGGCGACGAUCCUUAGCUGGUCUGAGAGGAUGAUCAGCCACACUGGGACUGAGACACGGCCCAGACUCCUACGGGAGGCAGCAGUGGGGAAUAUUGGACAAUGGGCGAAAGCCUGAUCCAGCAAUGCCGCGUGAGUGAUGAAGGCCUUAGGGUUGUAAAGCUCUUUUACCCGGGAUGAUAAUGACAGUACCGGGAGAAUAAGCUCCGGCUAACUCCGUG
rnacentral:rRNA from 1 species